GUGCCUACGGGGGGCAGCAGUAGGGAAUCUUCCACAAUGGGCGAAAGCCUGAUGGUGCGACGCCGCGUGGGGGAAUGACAAACUUCGGAUUGUAAACCCCUGUCAUGUGGGAGCAAAUUAAAAAGAUAGUACCACAAGAGGAAGAGACGGCUAACUCUGUGCCAGCAGCCGCGGUAAUACAGAGGUCUCAAGCGUUGUUCGGAAUCACUGGGCGUAAAGCGUGCGUAGGCUGUUUCGUAAGUCGUGUGUGAAAGGCGCGGGCUCAACCCGCGGACGGCACAUGAUACUGCGAGACUAGAGUAAUG
rnacentral:rRNA from 1 species